rnacentral:rRNA from 1 species
GACGAACGCUGGCGGCGUGCUUAACACAUGCAAGUCGAACGGAAAGGCCCUGCGUUUGUGGGGUUCUCGAGUGGCGAACGGGUGAGUAACACGUGAGUAACCUGCCCUUGACUUUGGGAUAACUUCAGGAAACUGGGGCUAAUACCGGAUAGGAGCUCCUGCUGCAUGGUGGGGGUUGGAAAGUUUCGGCGGUUGGGGCUGGACUCGUGGCUUAUCAGCUUGUUGGUGGGGUAGUGGCUUACCAAGGCUUUGACGGGUAGCCGGCCUGAGAGGGUGACCGGCCACAUUGGGACUGAGAUACGGCCCAGACUCCUACGGGAGGCAGCAGUGGGGAAUAUUGCACAACGGGCGGAAGCCUGAUGCAGCAACGCCGCGUGCGGGAUGACCGCCUUCGGGUGGUAACCAGCUUUCGCCUGUGACGAAGCGUGAGUGACGGUAAUGGGUAAAGAAGCACCGGCUAACUACGUG